rnacentral:misc_RNA from 1 species
UCCCGGUUGGCCCGGGCGGUCUCGUGUGAAAAAUACAACACACGACAAGGGUUGCGCUCGUUGCGGGACUUAACCCAACAUCUCACGACACGAGCUGACGACGGCCAUGCAGCACCUGAACCGGCGGCCCCCGAAGGGGAAACCUCAUCUCUGAGGCGGUCCACCGUUGUCUAGCCCAGGUAAGGUUCUUCGCGUUGCGUCGAAUUGAACCACAUGCUCCACCGCUUGUGCGGGCCCCCGUCAAUUCCUUUGAGUUUCAGUCUUGCGACCGUACUCCCCAGGCGGGGUACUUACUGCGUUAGCGGCGGCACCGGGAGGGUCGUUCCCCCCGACGCCUAGUACCCAUCGUUUACGGCGUGGACUAC